rnacentral:rRNA from 1 species
UAAUACGGAAGGUCCGAGCGUUAUCCGGAUUUAUUGGGUUUAAAGGGAGCGUAGGCGGAAGCUUAAGUCAGCCGUUAAAUAGCGGGGCUCAACCCCGUAGUGCGGUUGAAACUGAGUUUCUUGAGUGCACAAGAGGUAGGUGGAAUUCGUGGUGUAGCGGUGAAAUGCUUAGAUAUCACGAAGAACUCCGAUUGCGAAGGCAGCUUACUGGGGUGCAACUGACGCUGAAGCUCGAAGGUGCGGGUAUCAAACAGGAUUAGAUACCCUGGUAGUCCGCACGGUAAACGAUGGAUGCUCGCGAUGCGCGCUUUAAGUGUACGUCGCCUAGCGAAAGCGUUAAGCAUCCCACCUGGGGAGUACGCCGGCAACGGUGAAACUCAAAGGAAUUGACGGGGGCCCGCACAAGCGGAGGAACAUGUGGUUUAAUUCGAUGAUACGCGAGGAACCUUACCCGGGCUUGAAAUGUACCUGACGGACCGCAGAGACGCGGUCUUUCUUCGGACAGGUAUGUAGGUGCUGCAUGGUUGUCGUCAGCUCGUGCCGUGAGGUGUCGGCUUAAGUGCCAUAACGAGCGCAACCCUUAUCGCUGGUUACCAUCAAUUCGGUUGGGGACUCCAGCGACACUGCCAUCGCAAGAUGA